GGAAUCUUGCGCAAUGGGCGAAAGCCUGACGCAGCCAUGCCGCGUGAAUGAUGAAGGUCUUAGGAUUGUAAAAUUCUUUCAGUAGGGACGAUAAUGACGGUACCUACAGAAGAAGCCCCAGCUAACUUCGUGCCAGCAGCCGCGGUAAUACGAAGGGGGCUAGCGUUGCUCGGAAUUACUGGGCGUAAAGGGAGCGUAGGCGGACAUUUAAGUCAGGGGUGAAAUCCCAGAGCUCAACUCUGGAACUGCCUUUGAUACUGGGUGUCUUGAGUGUGAUAGAGGUAUGUGGAACUCCGAGUGUAGAGGUGAAAUUCGUAGAUAUUCGGAAGAACACCAGUGGCGAAGGCGACAUACUGGAUCAUUACUGACGCUGAGGCUCGAAAGCGUGGGGAGCAAACA
rnacentral:rRNA from 1 species